rnacentral:lncRNA from 1 species
AAGAGAGUGAUGCAUUUAAGUCAUUAAUUAUAAAUUAAGUUAUUUUUGGAUAUUAAUGCUAUGUAAUUUGUAGAUUGAAAUAUUCAUUAGUAUAGAACUUGGGCUAUUUUAAUGUAUCUGCACUGAGUUGAAGACAUAUUUUACUUGAAUACUUGGGCACAAGAAAACAGACUGUCAUGUCAUCUACCAUUGUUACACUAGUGCAUCUUUCUCAGCUCACAACUGUGGUUUUGUGUUUCCUUCUAGACCUGCUGGCAGAAAAGGAGAAAUGCUGUACGAGGUUUAUGAAUAGAACACAGCACACAAGAAAAGGUGUCUGUCUUUCCUGUGUAAUGGACAGGUUUUGAAUCGUGGGCCCAGAAGGAUUGUCUGAAUUAUAAGGAAUGUCCAUUUGUGCUUUAGCAACUUGAAGCUUCAGUGAAAAGAAUCAGAACACAGAGAAAACUUGCUGCUAGGACAAAAAUGAAGGAAAGAAUCAUCCCAGGAUGGUGAUACUCGGGUUACAGGCUCACAGGCAGAAGGGACUUGGCCUUUCUCAGAUGAGACUUUGGACUGUGGACUUCAGAGGUAAUGCUGAAAUGAGUUGACUUUGGGGGGACUGUUGGGAUGGCAUGAUUGGUUAUGAAAUGUGAUGACAUGAGAUUUUGGGAGGAGCCAGCUACCGCUCAUAAGGUUUCACUCUCUGUCCCCACUCAAAUCUCAUCUUGAAUUGUACUCCCAUAAUUCCCAUGUGCUAUG